AGUGAACGCUGGCGGUAGGCCUAACACAUGCAAGUCGAACGGCAGCACAGGAGAGCUUGCUCUCUGGGUGGCGAGUGGCGGACGGGGGAGGAAUACAUCGGAAUCUACUCUGUCGUGGGGGAUAACGUAGGGAAACUUACGCUAAUACCGCAUACGACCUACGGGUGAAAGCAGGGGACCUUAGGGCCUUGCGCGAAUGAAUGAGCCGAUGUCGGAUUAGCUAGUUUGCGGGGAAAAGGCCCACCACGGCGACGAUCCGUAGCUGGUCUGAGAGGAUGAUCAGCCACACUGGAACUGAGACACGGUCCAGACUCCUACGGGAGGCAGCAGUGGGGAAUAUUGGACAAUGGGCGCAAGCCUGAUCCAGCCAUACCGCGUGGGUGAAGAAGGCCUUCGGGUUGUAAAGCCCUUUUGUUGGGAAAGAAAUCCAGCUGGCUAAUACCCGGUUGGGAUGACGGUACCCAAAGAAUAAGCACCGGCUAACUUCGUGCCAGCCGCCGCAGUAA
rnacentral:rRNA from 1 species